GUAGGGGGCGCUGUUGUUCUCGAAACGGCUCUUCCAAUCGGCUGGGAUCUUGCCGCUUUCCUUGGCGAUCGCGUCGAUGUCCGCUUCGAGUGCCAGCGUCACGACG
rnacentral:sRNA from 1 species